UUCAGCAUGAGCACUUCAUUAAGUUCAGGCAGUUUUGGGAGGAGACCAAAGCAUAGCUCCAAGGCUUUAACGACCUACUAUAGCAGCUUUUGGAGGGCCUCGAGAGGCAAGUCACACAGGCAGAUCAGAUGGCAGCUCAACUCCAGCGGAUAGCUGAUUCUGGCAGGGAUGAUGGAGUGUAGCGAUUCUUUGAUGACCUGGGUGAUAUUGAGCUGGACCUCAGCGAUUGCUUCCCAUAUGCGACCUAGCCUCCACCAGUUCUAGCUGCCACUCAAGACCCUCCACUGUCUACAAGCACAGUUCCUACCGAGGAUGCACCGAUGCCCCCACCAGCCUCACCUUCCACUCAAGAUCCCCCACCGCCUUUUAGCACAACCCCCGCUGAGG
rnacentral:lncRNA from 1 species